UACGUAGGAGGCGAGCGUUGUCCGGAAUUACUGGGCGUAAAGGGCGCGUAGGCGGCCUGUUAAGUCGAACGUGAAAUCCCCGGGCUUAACCCGGGAACUGCGUCCGAUACUGGCAGGCUUGAAUCCGGGAGAGGGAUGCGGAAUUCCAGGUGUAGCGGUGAAAUGCGUAGAUAUCUGGAGGAACACCGGUGGCGAAGGCGGCAUCCUGGACCGGCAUUGACGCUGAGGCGCGAAAGCCAGGGGAGCAAACGGG
rnacentral:rRNA from 1 species